CUUCAGAAUCCAUUUUUAAGUGAUACACUUUACUUUACAGUACAGAUUGAUCCACGCUGAUAUAACCAGUGGCUGAUCUGGCAAACUCUCUCUCUCUCUCUCUAUCUGUCACCCUCUCUCUCUCACCUUCAGAAUCCAUUCUUAAGUGAUACAUUUACUUUACAGUACAGAUUGAUCCACGCUGAAUUAUAAUCAGUGGCUAAUCUGGCAAACUCUCUCUCUCUUUCUAUCUGUCACCCUCUCUCUCUCUCUCACCUUCAGAAUCCAUUCUUAAGUGAUACACUUUACUUUACAGUACAGAUUGAUCCACGCUGAUAUAACCAGUGGCCAAUCUGGCAAACUCUUUCUCUUUCUAUCUGUUACCCUCUCUCUCUCUCACCUUCAGAAUCCAUUCUUAAGGUGGCUCGUGGGUACAAAAAUUUUAGCAAAAAAUUCUAUUUUUCAUUACAAAUUUUAUUUAUACACUAUAGUUUUACUUUAUGAUAUGGUACAAAAAACAACCCAAACAAUGAUUUGGUUUGGCCCCAGAUGACUUUAAAAAUUGAAAAAGCUCCAAAUUAUCUCCCUUUGGUGCAAAAAUGCCAUUUUUGCCUUAAAUUUGAAAUAUCUUUUAACUCAUCGGUGACCAUAUUUUUUUUAUUGUUUUCAAAUAAGCUGACAUAAACUAAAUAAUUGUAAAAUUUAAGCGAUUUCUUAUAUUAGGUUAUUUUUUUAUUUCGAUAUUUCCUCUUUUUCUCCUAUUAGUUCAACAGAAAAAAAGGACAUUAACAAAAAUGUAUGUUUCUUCCAGAGGCAGAUUUUAGCUUAAAUGAACGGUAACCCCAUUUUUUUAUUUCAUUUUUCUUUUAAGUAUAUGAUAAAGUUCAUUCAUGAAAAAAUAUAGCGAAAUCCUAUAUUAGAAAAAAAAAAUUAUUUAUACCCAGGAGCCCCCUUAAGGGGAAUACUUUACUGUACAAUAUACAUGGAUACACGCUGAUAUAACCAGUGGCAAAUAUGUCAAACCAAAAUAUAUAUAUAUAUAUAUUUUAUCUUUUGUCUAUCUCAACUGUUACAUUAAUUUAAUAUUUUUCUCUCCUCCCCCUUUCUCUCUCUCUCAAUCAAUCAAUCAAUUAAUCAAUCAAUCAACAUGUUGAAAUCGGAUAUUUUGAGUUAAAUAUUAAUU
rnacentral:lncRNA from 1 species